GAUGAACGCUGGCGGCAUGCCUAACACAUGCAAGUCGAUCGGUAAGGCUCUUCGGAGUACACGAGAGGCGGACGGCUGAGUAACGCGUAGGAACACACCCUGCAGUGAGGGAUAAGACACCGAAAGGUGUUCUAAUACCGCAUACGGUCUUCGGAUUAAAGCAUUUAUGCGCUGAAGGAGUGGCCUGCGUCAUAUUAGAUAGUUGGUGAGGUAAUGGCUCACCAAGUCGAUGAUGUGUAGCUGGUCUGAGAGGAUGAUCAGCCAGACUGGAACUGAGACACGGUCCAGACUCCUACGGGAGGCAGCAGCGAGGAAUAUUUCACAAUGAGCGAAAGCUUGAUGGAGCAAUGCCGCGUGCAGGAUGAAGGCCCUCGGGUUGUAAACUGCUUUUAUAAGAGAAGAUUAUGACGGUAACUUAUGAAUAAGGGACGGCUAACUACGUG
rnacentral:rRNA from 1 species